rnacentral:rRNA from 1 species
GACGAACGCUGGCGGCGUGCUUAACACAUGCAAGUCGAACGGAAAGGCCCUGCUUUUGUGGGGUGCUCGAGUGGCGAACGGGUGAGUAACACGUGAGUAACCUGCCCUUGACUUUGGGAUAACUUCAGGAAACUGGGGCUAAUACCGGAUAGGAGCUCCUGCUGCAUGGUGGGGGUUGGAAAGUUUCGGCGGUUGGGGAUGGACUCGCGGCUUAUCAGCUUGUUGGUGGGGUAGUGGCUUACCAAGGCUUUGACGGGUAGCCGGCCUGAGAGGGUGACCGGCCACAUUGGGACUGCGAUACGGACCAGACUCCUACGGGAGGCAGAAGUGGGGAAUAUGGCACAACGGGCGGAAGCCUGAUGCAGCAACGCCGCGUGCGGGAUGACGGCCUUCGGGUUGUAAACCGCUUUCGCCUGUGACGAAGCGUGAGUGACGGUAAUGGGUAAAGAAGCACCGGCUAACUACGUG